rnacentral:rRNA from 1 species
AGAGUUUGAUCAUGGCUCAGAUUGAACGCUGGCGGCAUGCCUUACACAUGCAAGUCGAACGGUAACAGGUCUUCGGAUGCUGACGAGUGGCGAACGGGUGAGUAAUACAUCGGAACGUGCCCGAGAGUGGGGGAUAACGAAGCGAAAGCUUUGCUAAUACCGCAUACGAUCUCAGGAUGAAAGCAGGGGACCGCAAGGCCUUGCGCUCACGGAGCGGCCGAUGGCAGAUUAGGUAGUUGGUGGGAUAAAAGCUUACCAAGCCGACGAUCUGUAGCUGGUCUGAGAGGACGACCAGCCACACUGGGACUGAGACACGGCCCAGACUCCUACGGGAGGCAGCAGUGGGGAAUUUUGGACAAUGGGCGCAAGCCUGAUCCAGCCAUGCCGCGUGCAGGAUGAAGGCCUUCGGGUUGUAAACUGCUUUUGUACGGAACGAAAAGACUCUGGUUAAUACCUGGGGUCC